rnacentral:tmRNA from 1 species
GGGGGUGUUUUUGGCAUUUGAUGAGUAAAUGUUUGGAUAGAACCACAGCCACGAAGGUCACGUGUAAUAACCACUUAAAUUUAAACGCUAAAACAAAAAUUGCUAACGUAUUUGGUGUAAACCAGAACGUUGCUUUCGCUGCCUAAUUUUAGCCUACGUUUGGCUCGCAGCCCCGAUAGUCUGAGUUCGCUUUCUUAUCAGAUAUCGACGGAUUCAUAAAGAAGAUAAGAUGAAGUAUUGAUCCGCUGCUUCAUACGAAAAUUAUAGGAUCACCUCUUAUGGUUAUCGUUCUUAUCCGAGACAUAAGAGUACAUGAUAAGAAAAGCUGUAAACGUUGUAUCGUGGGACUUUGCUUAGACAGGAGUUCGACUCUCCUCACCUCCACCA